UUCCUAGUUUGUUUACAUUUCUCUAAACCAUCCUGAGGAUUCCGAGAUUAGGAUCCACCCAAGACCCAGAUGCAGCCUCUCUGGGCGCAGCCUCUCUGGGCGCAGCCUCUCUGGGCGCAGCCUCUCUGGGCGCAGCCUCUCUGGGCGCAGCCUCUCUGGGCGCAGCCUCUCUGGGCGCAGCCUCUCUGGGCGCAGCCUCUCUGGGCGCAGCCUCUCUGGGCGCAGCCUCUCUGGGCGUCAGCCUCUCUGGGCGCACACUCUCUCUCCUCCCUGUGCUGGUUGCAGUGCUUGCUCUCGUGACUGGCAUGGUUCCCCGUGCCGGGCGAAUGUUGGUUUUCCUGUGGUCAGCCGAGACAUCGUUUUCUUCCUUUGUGUGCUGGGCCUUCAUUGGUAGAAAUACACCCACUCGGUGUCCCAGUGGGUGAGUGCGGACCUGGGGCCCUGCUUCUGGAUUCGGUCCGGCCCUCACCAGCUGCUCUUGAAGCCUCAAUCCAGAGUGCUUUCGCCUGCCCAUCGGUCUGUGGGCCCCAUGUGAGCAGUGCAGGAGAGGGCCAGAAAGGGGAGAGGUGGGGCAGAAGAGAACAUAGGAUCCCCCAGAACCGGAGCUUCAAUGUGGGUGCCUGGAAACCGACCGGGUCCUAGGGAGGAGCAGCCAGCGCGCUCAGUCACUGAAACAUGUCUCCAACCGCCGAGGUCUAUUUUCAGAUGAGUGUGUGUAGCGUGUGAGGAGGGACCUGGAGAAGGCCAGAGGCGUGCUUGUGGGAGUCAAAUCUCCUUCCACCACGUGGAUUGUGGGGCUCAAACUCCAGCUGCCAGCCAUGGGGCAAGUGUGUUCACCCCUGAGGAGACUUGGCAGGCCCAGGAUUCAUUGUGAGUGUGUGUCCUGGGGCCGGGGGUACUUGGUAGCAGCUGCAUAUACUCCCUUGGGGGCCUUGGGUAGGCCGCAAAGCCUACAGAACUAGAGGAGAGUGUGCAGGGCUUUCUCACCAACACAUGGAAAAAAUAAUGUGUGCCGCGUGCCUGUGACCCCAGGACUGCUGCUGUGAGUUUAAGACCAGGCAGGCCCCAGAGGUGAACAGCUGCCUCUGAGAACAAGGGAGUGCAGGUGAGGUGGGGCACCCCUGUAACAUCAGCUCGGGGUCCCCCUGUAACAACAGGGGGACCCCGAGUCUCCUGCCAGCCUAGUCUACACAGGAAGUUCCAGGCCAACCAGGGCUACAUAUGUGUGGCACCCCACUCCCACACCAAACUGUGGAGCAGCAGACAGGGUGGCUCACUGGGUAGUUACCUGCUGCCAAGCCUGAGAACCUGGGUUUGAGCCCCAGACCCCCUGGAGGGAGAACCAACUCCUAGAAGUCAGCCUCUGACCUGGACACGCACAGCACCCCCACAUGCACAGGAUUGGGUUUAGUUAAUGAAACCCAAAGGAAAACGAAUGUCUGUCCGUCCACACAAUGUACUGUAAGGGGCAUAGCUAGGAAAGUAUGGUGCACAUAGAGCGGGCCACUGACUAGCUCUCUGCUAGUCCCCUGAAACACGCCCACCCACUCUGGAUUCACUCCUGAUGAGGCUGGCGGGUUUGCCUACCGUCCUGGCAGUCUGGGGAGAGGUGGCACCACCAGCAGUGGCCAGAGGCCUGCAGUGGCCAGAGCCCAGGGGCAGAAUUUACCUCCCUGGUUGGGGAGGCCCAGGACAUGAAACUGAGCCCUCAACGCCCUGGAAAAGCAGUGGGGAUGGGAAGGAGUUGUGUUUGGUAGUGUGAAGAGGGAGAUGCAGGCACGUGCACGCGCACACACACACACACACACACACACACACUAGAACUGCUGGAGGGACUGGAAUAGCUCCAGACACCCCACUCCCACUAAAGAGCCAAGUUUUCAGCACAAAAGAGACUUAUUUACUUAUUUGCCCCAGAGAAACAAAAGGCCGGGAAUAAGAGACAGACAGGAGAUAGAGGACAGAGGGGAAGGGCUCCUUAUCAGGGUGGGGCGACCACCAAAGGACUCCUUCUGGAAAGAGGAGACAGGCUUCAUCCUGGCAAAUGGCAGUUUAUGGGGUAAAAUGGGAAAGCCCACGUUAAAAUGAACUGUUUCAACUUGAUUGGACGUGGUAAUUGGGGUGGUCAAAGGGGGGCUUUGGUUGCUGGACUUGAAUACUUUCAUAGCUGGACCUCGGUAGUCAGCCUCUGGGGGAGGAAGUGACCAAAUAACCUUGGUGGCCAGCUUUAGGAAUGUAAUCUAAGGGUAUUUUAGCAAGGCAGAGGGAAUGGGGGAGAAGGGCAAGGCCUUCUUGCUUCCCUUGCUCGCCCGAUGCCUGCUGCGCUCCGGCUGCCUAGGCCUUCACUGGCUGGACUUAUUUGGCCAGUGAGGUUGAAAAGCUGGGCCAAAUGGAGCACGGUGCAGAAAACGGAUGGAGGAGGUCCCAGCAGCCCGAUUUUAGCAAGCUACUGCUGUCGGGUAAGGGAUUCAUCUGCUGAGGGGAAGGGAGGGUGGCAUCUGUCAAGAGCCUGCCCCGCUCUCGCAGAGGACCAGAGCGGGAUCAUCAUCUACUCUAGGCAUCCCACCCAGGACAGCCUGUAAUGCCCACUUCCGGGGAGCCGACACCUUUCUCUCGGACUGCACGUGUAAGUGCACACAGCGCACGCGUACAUUGUUGUGUAACCCUUUCUCCACACCAUGGGAACUUCUUAGGCUGGAGGCAACAGAACUCAAAAUAGCUUCAGGAAGUUGCUGAAACCGACCUGCUCUCCUAGCGCCCACCUCCACCCCACCGUCCCAGGAGUGAACUGUAAAGGCUGCUGAGUGUCACCCUCAGAGAAGCAAGCUGCAAAGGAGCCUCUGCGAGCCGAGCAGCAGAGGUGGACAUCAACUGAGCCUCCUGGAAGGGAUGCUCUCCAGCCUGCUCCACAGCGGCCCGCCUGAGGGAGGCCCUGUGGCCCUGUGAACUGUUUCCCAGGCCGGGGAGGGCGCUGGAGAUGCAGCUUGAAAAGGCAGAAUAACGACUCCGAGAUUGAAUUGUUUGGGAAUAAAUGCCUAGGCCAAAAGCUUCGGCUCGGUCCCACUAGCUUGUACUCAAUUCUCCACCCUUCUCUUCCAGGGCCUGCCACGGGGCUAGUUCGGACUCCUCGGGGUCAUGUGACAGUGUCCAUCAGCAUUCGGGGGAACGACUCUAUCCCAGUAUCCUCUCUCCGUGCCGGAACUCCUAAGAGAACGGAUCUUUUGGGUUCAGACUCCAUCAUAGAGACCUAAGGUCAAACUCAAGUUAACAAGAGGGUAUCUAGCACCCGUUUCCAGGUUACCCCCAGCAAGACCUGUGUCUAGCACCAGUUACCAGGUUACCUCCCAACAAAAGUUGCGUCUAGCAUCAAGUCUCCAGGUUACUGCUGGACAAGGCUGCACCCCCAAGUUACAAGCCUACCCCUGACACUUCACUUCCUAAGAAGUGAAGCACCAGUGAGGAGGAAAACGGAAGUUUGAGGCUGGCAUUAGUCAAUUACGGUAAAGGCUGCAAUGGCCCCACCCAAUCAGAAGUGCACUAGGCAAGAUACCCCUUUCCGGCCUCUACAAAUGCUUGCCUCAAAGGAGCCUGCCAGGCUCCAGGCUCUGGGUCAAGUCCCGUUCUCCUGCCUCGCAGACGGUGAUGUGACCCAAACUCGAGCUUAAAUAAAGAAAUCCUAAUGUGA